ACAAAAAAUAAAAGUAAUUUAUAUAGUACAUAAAAAAUUAAAAAUAAAUUGAAUAAAAUCAAAUCUAAUUUAACGGUUUCUUAACAAAAAUUUUAACCGAACAGAUUUUUAAUAUAAACAUAAGAACGAAGAAAGAAUCUUUUUUGUUCCUUUUCAACCUAGUCUAUUCUCCCUUGAAUUGAAACUGUGUUCCUUGCAAGGAUAAAAAUAGAAUAUUCAUGAAAACUACUCAACUCCUUAGAAUAAUGACCUUGUAGGAAUUUAAGAAAAAAAAUCAAAUAUACUUCCCACAAAGAGAGUUCAUGAGCGAGUCUCGUCAGUUUCAAAAUCAAACAAUUCCAGGAGCUGCAAUCUCCUUCUCAGAUUAAGAAAAAUGUUGUGCUAGCUUUUCAGGAAGAUACGAAACAAUAUAACUCUCAAUUAGAGACUCCACAAAAGAGCGAGCAUAAUCAAGUGAGAUUGGAGUUUUAAAGCAAAGAAAGGACAAGCAAUUGGAGUUCAUGAAGCCUGUCGUAACUACGUCAGAGGUAGCUCCUCGACCUCCAACUUCUGAGCCACAAGUCCAAGUCUAUACAUUCAAAAAAAGAAAAAAAAGAAGAAGAAGAAGAAGAAGAAGAAAUUCAUCAUCAAUCCAGAGCAAUAUAGCAUUUUCUAUUCUUCAAUGAUUGAUUUAGUAAAGCUUGUUCCUAGCAACUUCUGACUUAUCUCAAAUUCAUAAACUUGUGCACAUGGCAGAUUUAUUUUUAUUUUUUUGUUUGUUUUA